rnacentral:rRNA from 1 species
ACUCCUACGGGAGGCACAGUGGGAUAUUGCACAAUGGGCGCAAGCCUGAUGCAGCCAUGCCGCGUGUGUGAAGAAGGCCUUCGGGUUGUAAAGCACUUUCAGUAGGGAGGAAGGUAGUGUAGUUAACACCUGCACUAUUUGACGUUACCUACAGAAGAAGCACCGGCUAACUCCGUGCCAGCAGCCGCGGUAAUACGGAGGGUGCGAGCGUUAAUCGGAAUUACUGGGCG